ensembl:lncRNA
GUCAUGUGUGGUGAGGGAGUAUCUACUGAGCAAACUGAACGGAGGUACAGCUCAAAACUUUGUGAAAUUUGGAGGAUGAGGAUAUUUCACAGUUCAAAAAGGAAGACCAGUUACAGAAUUCUGCGGUUACGGAGUGAAUGCUAAAGAAAGAAAGAAAGUGAUGCGGUUCAGAAACAACUUGAGGUGGAAGCAAGCAGCUGACAGCGUCCACUGCUGGCCAAGAGAAAGAUGCUUUUAAUGAGAGCUCACUGCUGUGUUAAAGGAGUCCCCUGCCUCCUCAGACCUCCACACACACACAUUCACACACUCACGCAAACAAGUUACAUGUAACCCUCAUCCGAGGCUCCUCCCCCACAGCCAUGUUGCCCUGGCUACAUGGUUGUCACCUUUCCCAUUCAAAAUCAGGGUGCUAAUUAUUGCGUUAUCAUUAACAGCUCUAUUUCAGGUUGAACAUCCUAGCUGAAAUGUUUAAGAUUAGCAAGCGAAGUUAUAAACAGGCUAUUAGUAAAAAAUUAUGUUGAUGUAAAAAAAAAAAAAAA